rnacentral:rRNA from 1 species
GACGAACGCUGGCGGCGUGCUUAACACAUGCAAGUCGAACGGACAGGCCCUGCUUUUGUUGGGUGCUCGAGUGGCGAACGGGUGAGUAACACGUGGGUAACCUGCCCUUGACUUUGGGAUAACUUCAGGAAACUGGGGCUAAUACCGGAUAGGAGCUCCUGCUGCUUGGUGGGGGUUGGAAAGUUUCGGCGGUUGGGGAUGGACUCGCGGCUUAUCAGCUUGUUGGUGGGGUAGUGGCUUACCAAGGCUUUGACGGGUAGCCGGCCUGAGAGGGUGACCGGCCACAGUGGGACUGAGAAACGGGCCAGACUCCUACGGGAGGCAGCAGUGGGGAAUAUUGCACAAUGGGCGGAAGCAGUAUGCAGCAACGCCGCGUGCGGGAUGACGGCCUUCGGGUUGUAAACCGCUUUCGCCUGUGACGAAGCGUGAGUGACGGUAAUGGGUAAAGAAGCACCGGCUAACUACGUG